rnacentral:lncRNA from 1 species
AGGGGAGAGUUCAUUGGGGAACACCAAAAAAGUGGGGAACUGGGGAACAGGGGCAAUUUUGUCAAAAUACUUUCCAAAAUAUAAUGCGUUUAUUAUUAUUAUCAUUUUUUUGAAUGGGAGUCUUUUCCGGUUGCCAUAAGCCGCCACCACCAUCACGAUGAUCCUGAAUAACUGUUAAACCACCGAUUUCCACCAACAGAUUCCGGUGAAGAUCGGCCAAUUUUCAUCUACGUUUAUGAUUUAAACUUGCAAUUCAUCCAAUUUAUCUCCAUUUUGUUUCAAUCCGGAUUACCAACAACAUCAUUCACCCUUUAGAUCUAGGGUUUCAUCGUUCAGAAAUCAAUUCAUCAGAGGCUCAAGCAUGUCAACUGAAAUUGUGAGGUGAGAGGGGUGAUAUCGGAUUUCUUUAACCUAUGUCCUGAUGUAAAGACUCAUACAAAGGCUCCAGCAGAGGCGAUUGAAAAUCUUCUCACACCACUUGGACUGCAGAAAGUAAAGACGGAAAGGAUACAAAGAUUAUCUGAAGGAUAUUUAUGGGAUGACUGGACAUACAUCACUCAACUCCAUGGCGUUGGGAAAUGCCUAUGCAAUAUUUGUUAGAGGGUAGUAGAGGCGCAUGAUACCCGCAGAUCAUAUGCUAGACAGGUACCAGAAAAUUCGCAGACGGUGUUGAGUUCGUGAAAAGCCCCCUAAACUGAUCAGCAAACCAGAAAAGCUGCAGUUAUAAAAGUAAAGCCAAAAAUUUAAAUCAAAAUAUCACAACCAAGUCAUUCAAGAGCUAAAAAUGAUGCAAGUAUUUGGUAUUUGUUUAGGGCCUCUUUAGCAUGAACCAAUAGCAAAUUAGAGUAAGAACAGUUAUAAGGCAUGAAUGCAAUUGCUGCAACAGUUUCACCAGAAAGGUUUGAACCCGGUUGCUCAGUAUUCAUUUUAUAAUCGGUUCGUGGCAUUGUAAUGUCUUAAGUGCGCAGCGCGCUCCCAACAGAAGAAAAUUAAUAGUUAUGUGAAUAUGACCUUUGUGUAUCAAGCCCGUAUAAAUAAUCUGAGAUUUAGCUUAGUAAUUUGAUUGUUUUGUGACAAUAUUCAUUAAGGUUAGGCUGGGUUGAGGUUCUUUUUGCACCUGUGCUAUUGUAAAAGGGUUUUCUUUUUUGACAUUUUCAAGGCCUUGAGUUGUUUGCUUUGUAUCUUGUUCUCCAGUGGUAUUUAAUAAUAUUAG